rnacentral:rRNA from 1 species
GAAUAUUGGACAAUGGGCGCAAGCCUGAUCCAGCCAUGCUGCGUGAGUGAAGAAGGCCCUAGGGUUGUAAAGCUCUUUCGCACGCGACGAUGAUGACGGUAGCGUGAGAAGAAGCCCCGGCUAACUUCGUGCCAGCAGCCGCGGUAAUACGAAGGGGGCAAGCGUUGUUCGGAAUUACUGGGCGUAAAGGGCGCGUAGGCGGAUAUUCAAGUCAGAGGUGAAAGCCCUGGGCUCAACCCGGGAACUGCCUUUGAAACUGGAUGUCUUGAGUCUGGGAGAGGGUGGCGGAAUACCCAGUGUAGAGGUGAAAUUCGUAGAUAUUGGGUAGAACACCAGUGGCGAAGGCGGUCACCUGGCCCAUAACUGACGCUGAGGCGCGAAAGCGUGGGGAGCAAACAGG